rnacentral:tRNA from 1 species
AGGGGAGUAGCUCAAUUGGUAGAGUAUCGGUCUCCAAAACCGACGGUUGUGGGUUCGAGUCCCUCCUCCCCUGCCA